AGCCUGUCCCUGUCUAUUUCUAACCUCCCUCAUAUGUCUGUCUUGCUAAAAAUAUCAUUGAAUCUCACAUAAAUCAAGUGAUAUUGGGCAAAAAAAGUCUCUGCAAUUUGUUAUCCAACUUUUUCUUGGUUACUGUCCUCUCAUGGUAGAUGGCAAGUUGAAGAACCCACUUUCCCUAAAACAUGCGUCAGCAGCUGAGUAGAUGGAGAAGUAAUGGGUAGAGUUGAUCACAAAUUCUACCCAAAUGGCUUCACCAAUGGCAUCUAGAUACAGAGAGCUUAACAUUUCUCCUAUUUAUAAAUUUCAUACUAAAGAUUUAAAAAGUGUUCCACUUACAAAGAAAUUGCUGCAAGACCAAUGAUUUGAAAACAAACAAUAAAUUUUGUCUAGUGAGUCAAAGUGAAGCAAAAUAAAUAAAUAAAUCUAAAGACACAAUACAAAAAAAAAAGAGAGACUUACCUCAACUUGAUACUCGAAUUUCUCUCCAUAAGUAUUGACAGCCUGUUUCUCGGUUAUACCAUCCUUGCACCGGAUAACAAUUCAAUCAUUUUGUGAUUGGAGAAGGGAUCGUAGAGAAAGGACAUGAAGAGAGGACAUAGAGAGAGAAAACUCAAUUGGAUUUAUUUUUAAUUAAAAUAUAAUAAAAAUUUUAGAAGUGUUAACAUCACCAUUUAAACCAGUAAAUGGGCUAUCAAAGGUCAUAUGGGUUUUAAUGUUAGAUAAAUUGAAGUUGAGAGCUCUUAUGUUACAAAUUGAGGUUAAAUGAGUUUUAUUUUAUAGCGCUUAAGUUUUGAUAAUUUACCCUUUCUCCCUGUUAAGAAUCCCUAUUUUCAAGUGGCUCAACAUAUCCUAAACACUUGAUCACUUGGGCUAACUUUUUUAACCCUUACCUAAGGCUGCCCUCACUAACUGAAGAUCAUAUGUAGCAUAUCACUCCUAGCAAAAGCCUUAGUUAACUUGGGUUAGCUUUCAAUGCACCUAUGUAGUGAAUUCUUUUCAGGAUUCACGUCCAUAAUCAUUAGAUGUUACUCCAUCUAUGAGCUAGUCAUCAACUUUCCACAAACCUACAUCUUUGCUUGGGACCAUUAAUUCACAUCUAAGCAUAGUGUGCUAGCAGAGUUUUGUGUGGGCCUCAUAAUUUAAUUUGAUAGUUGUGCUAAUCAGCUGCAAGGUUGAAUUGGGGCAUUUGAUUGUUGUAUUUUAUUUUUUCUACCUUUCAGGUUUGCACAAAUAACAGUGAUUAUGAAGGCGGAAAUAAUUAAUGAUUAUUACAUAAUCAAAUAGUGCGCGAGAAUUAAACAAGAGUCUGAAGUUAGUAGGGAAAGGUGUGGCAACUGCAACUUCAAGGAGCAGCGAUAAAUGAUGUGAAGAAAAUAAAAACCUUAGGCUUCAAUCUACAUAAUAUUCUACAGGGGCAAUUGCUCAUGUGUUGCUGCAAUCUGUGACAUGGUGGAAGGUGAAGCAUACUCGGUUCUUCGCGGUUUCAUAAUAGAGACAAAUUAUGUACUUAAUUAGGUUCUUGUUCUUCCAAGGUUUUGUUGGCACAAUCUUGUCUUAUGGCUGGACCUGAAAUAACCCUUUUCAGUAGAUGAAUUCAGUGAGAAAUU
rnacentral:misc_RNA from 1 species